rnacentral:rRNA from 1 species
AUGGAUCCACCCGUGAUGGCCGAAGUUAGUUCCACCAAAGAACACGUCGACCUGGAGAGGAACUCCAAGGACCUGACCAUGGCUGCAGGCGACGUACAAGGUAACCCAACCAUCUUUGAGCUGGAGAUGAUCGAGGCGCAAGAGGAAGAUGCGGCGGCGGCGGCAUACGACGAGAUCGUCGCUCGAUACAGGAGGAAACGCGCUGACCGUAAGGCUCGGAUCGUCAAGGAGCUGGGCGAGGAGGCCUACCUCGAGCUCGAGGGCGGGGACGACUGCCUGGCCAACGACCCUGACUACGUGGAUGAGAUCAACCAGUGGAUCAGGAUACAAGAUGAAAGGCAUAAGGCGAAUCUCAGGCGUGGCAUACUUCCUGGCUACAAGAAACUUUCUGACUCCGACUUAUACUUAGAAAUAUACUCAUGCUUGCACCCGGACUCGGAAUCAGACUCGAACUCUGACUCAGAAGACAAUGAUGAUGAUGGUGGUCAUGAGGAUGAGGAGGCAGAGGAAAAUUCUGACUCCAAAGAAGAAGAAGAAGGUGAAGAAGAAGAGGGGGAGUUGGAGGCAGAGAAGUUUAUAUCUUUAGCGGAACGUAGGGCAGCGGCGGCGGAGGCAGCCCUCGGCGGGUUCGAAUGGCGGACGGGGCCACUAGUUUUAUCAUGGCCAUCAAAGGGAAAGAGCUGCCCGGCAUUUAGGACCUGGACAACAUGA